AACGAACGCUGGCGGCAGGCUUAACACAUGCAAGUCGAACGCAUCCUUCGGGGUGAGUGGCAGACGGGUGUGUAACGCGUGGGAACGUGCCCUUCAGUUCGGGAUAACCCAGGGAAACUUGGGCUAAUACCGGAUACGUGCGAGAGCAGAAAGAUUUAUCGCUGAAGGAUCGGCCCGCGUCUGAUUAGCUAGUUGGUGGGGUAAUGGCCCACCAAGGCGACGAUCAGUAGCUGGUCUGAGAGGAUGAUCAGCCACAUUGGGACUGAGACACGGCCCAAACUCCUACGGGAGGCAGCAGUGGGGAAUAUUGGACAAUGGGCGCAAGCCUGAUCCAGCCAUGCCGCGUGAGUGAUGAAGGCCUUAGGGUUGUAAAGCUCUUUCGUCCGGGACGAUAAUGACGGUACCGGAAGAAGAAGCCCCGGCUAACUUCGUGCCAGCCGCCGCGGUGA
rnacentral:rRNA from 1 species